CAUUCCCUCUGGAUUCCAGCAGCCCCACCACAGUGCAGCAAAGCUGGCUGCAAAACUCUGGGAUGAUCUAGUAGAGGAUGGGGGGAAAUUGUGGCUUAAUGCUCAUUAAGCAGCACUAAGUUUUGGUUUCUUGGGCUGGAAUUAGGACGAUUUCAGACCUCGAGCCCUGCAGAGCUGGAUUACACCUUCCAGGCAGGAGCCAGGUCUGAUUGUGUCUGCAGGUGAAGCAGUUGGCAGUGGCAUCGGGGAGAGAUGGUUGCCUGAUCAGCACCACCUCCCAACAAGGUAUUUCACCCGGAGAACAUGGAAAGGACCUUAAACCAAAGAGAUUUCAAGUUCAGUUGAGUCUCUGAACAUUUUACCUUCAGCAUGAAGGUUUGCAAGCCAAUUCCAAAAAAUGGGGACAUCUUUCCUUUGAAAGCAGCUGGGUGCAGAUGGAGGAAACUGUGUUUUAACAUGUGGUGUGAGGCCUGAGACAUUUCCAGGGAUGUGAUUUUUUGAAGCGGCGAUUCUCGGGAGCGGGGGAAGGAAGGGAGGUUGGCGCAGUUGCUCAUGAGGUGCCAGGAUGGAUGGCUGGCAGGAGGGCUUGGCAGAGCUGCCUUAGCUCUGCAUGCUCGCCUCUGAGGGAUUGCCUGUUGCUGCUGCUUUUUCCCGCUGAUUCUGAGGAACUGUUAGGGAGGCUGUGAUUGAUUUUGACCCUGUUUUAUUUAUAAGAUCUUUAUUUCUUGCGCUGGUCUCUGUGCCAUUUUUUAAACGCAUUUGGCUGUCAAGAUGUCAAAAACUGGAGAAUUGCUUUUGGAGUUUAUCUUCCAGUCCAUCCAUCUUUGGCGUUUAUCAGGUACCUUUAUAUCACUUGGGAGAAAACUUAGAGCUCCUUCAGGGUAUCUGUUGCACCUCCAGCAAGGACAGCCGAUGGGGACAGGGCUGCACUUAAUCAGAAACCCCAGCUGCCCUGCCAGGGUCUGGGCUGCUCCAGGCCAAGCACAGAUGAGAGCACCCAAAUUCUCUCCUGUUACUCCUCGAUACGCCACAGCAGAGGCUCCCCCCCUACAAAUACCUGUGUGAUAAACACCUCUCCCCUGUGAGAGAAGGACUGGGCAUCUCCAGGUCGUUUUCAGUGGCCGUGGAAUUGGAGGUUCUUUCCUCCUGGCUGUAAGGCUGUUGUGAUCUUAGACAUGGCAAGUGCUGUACUCAGUGAAGCGGAUGCAUCUUGCUGCCGAAGUCUGGGGAGGAUGAGGAGAGCGGUCCUUGAUGUACAGGAGUAAAUAGGUGGCUAGGUGAACUGAACAAAGCGUUAUGUCCUUUAGUGUUUGUAAUGCAGCUUCCCACUUGCACUAUGCGUGAGAUCAGCUUUGUUCUUCAUCUUUGAGGAGUUGCUGAGUUUCUUCCUUACCUUGUAGAGAUGGACACAGGGGGAAUUUCCUUCCUCUUGCAUGGCAGCUUGUGGAGGUUGUCUGCAGUCCAGGGUUAAAGUCCUGGGACCCCAGGUGGAGGCUGUGGCAUGGACCUCUAGCCUCUCCUACUUGCAUGUUGGAUGGUUUCUGCUGCACCUUUCCUGGUGCAGGUGGUGGCUGUGAGCUGUUGGCUCUCUGGGGUCUCUGCUUUGUGUGAUCUGAACUCCAGCACACUCAGGGAAGAAUUCUUUCAGCAGAGGCGUCAUUGCUUUGGGUAAUGGAGGGCAGGCAUGGCUGGGCGCCGAGGAUCUGUCUGAUGGUUCCCAGGCCGCACUGAUGCUGCUCUGCCAGAAGAGAGAUGGGGAAAAGAUACUUCUGUGACUACUGCGACAGGUCCUUUCAGGACAACCUUCACAACAGGAAGAAGCACCUCAAUGGAGUGCAGCAUCUCAGGGCUAAGAGAGUCUGGUACGACUUAUUCCGAGAUGCUGCCGCUAUCCUGCAAGAGGAGCAAACCAAGAAACCUUGUCGGAAGUUUCUGCAAACAGGACAGUGUGAUUUUGGGUCCAACUGCAGAUUUUCCCACAUGACAGAGCAGGACCUGGAGAAGCUGAGUGCCCAGGUUCAAGGGGAACAGAGAUCGAAGGAGCUGCGGCAGGAGGGAGCAGAUGUCCCGCCUGGCACCAUUGAGGACUGGCUGGAGAAGAGAGCAAAGAGACUGAGCACAGCUCAGAGUAACAGGUACCGGUGGCUGGGGAGCAUCCGUGUGAGGGCUGGCGGCUGCUUCUGGCCCGGACAGAGGGGGGAUCCCACAAGAGGGGUGUGAAUGUGAGAGGAGAAGGUGCAGGCGAUCAGAGGUCCUGGCUCAGCAGGACCCCCUGAGCUACCAUUUAACACUCUGCUUGCCAGCGCUGCACGCCUGCCCUUAGCACACAUGACAGACACACAUAUGGAUCCUGUCUUGCAUGCCCAUGUCCAAGAUGUGUGCACGUGUCUCCCCAUGUGCCUGGGGGGGGGGACAAGCCAGGCCUCACUGCCUGUGGCUGAUUCCCUGGGGAAGGCAAGCAGAGGGGUACUCCUGCGCUCUCUGCAGAGUGCGCAGAUGUGCCUGGAAGGACAGUGCCGCUGUGGCGAUGAGUUAUUAAUGCUCGGAGUUCGGCAGCAGGAGCCUGGUCUCAUCUGUUGACAGUUUUCCCCAUCCUCUGCCUGCCCAGUCUGCACAUCUCUGCCAGUGUUCUGUCCCUGCCAGUGAGAGGGUGGAAUUAGCUCCUCCUCGUGGCAUUCAUUCGGAUUCGGGCGCCUGCCGGUGCCUGCUGUUUCCUUGCUCACCUGACUGUGCCGCAGGCUUAAUUGGAUGACAUUUGGGCAGGUGCCAAAUCUCUCUUUUGUUCUUUUUCUAUUUGCUCCUGUCCUCCCUAUGUUUGGUCUGGGCAGGAUCUUCCUUCUGGUGCUUGUCUGGGCUCGUUGCUUUCCGUUCGGUCCAUCCAUCAGCUUGGCUGCCCUUAGCCUUGCAGUGGUGCUCACUGACAGCCAUAACCUUCCUACCCCCCCGUACGCUUCACUUGCCCCAUUUUGCUUGUCCUGCCUGUAGAAUCCCUUGAUCUUGGGGUAGAUCAUCUCUUACAGAGACAGCCGUCGUUAUACCCAGAAGAAUUUCCAGACCUUCAGAACUACUUGGUCCCUGCUGCCUCCAAAGGUGCACAAGUCCUGGGAUUUCCAGGGUUGUUGCUUUCUACCCAGCCUCUCUGCCCCUGCAGGCUCAGAAACCACCCUCAGAAGCUACACACCAACUAUUCAAAGCUUCUCUUCCUCUAUCUGGCCUUGCCGAUGCCUGUCCCUAUCAUUUCUCUUCUCCCCUUGUGCUCUCCAGCCCCAGCGUUGUCCUUCCGAGCAACUGUGUUUUGCUUUGUCUGCCAGAGAAGUUGUUUUGCAUUGCCAGGGAAGAGGGCCUGUUUUCGGCAGGUCCCCAUGCUCCUGGUGUCUAGGGAGUCUGCAUUGCUCCUGAAAAUGCUUUUAAGGACAAGGAGCUCGCUCUCCCCCCUUCAGUCUUCAAGGUCCCUGAAAUGUGGCAGAAUCUCUGGCAGGGUCUAAUGCUGCUUUGGGGAAUUUGUGGGUUCGGAUGAUAAUCUGCCUAGGGGCUGCCUUGCCUGGCUGCUGAUGUCAGUACAGACCAUUAGUCUGCACAAAACAGUAGCGAAAGUGCUCUCAAGGGCAGUCAUCUCCAGAAGGAGAUGCUGGAGACCCAGCUCCACCCCUGUCUUCUCCGGCAGCGCUGAGCAAGAAGGAUUCAAGCUGGGAUGGAAGAGUUCUUGGAAGCACACUCUCCCAGAGCGUGGUGGGAAGCUGUCGCUGUGUUAAGCCUCAGCCUGUGAGCGUAGCUGAGUUUGUUUCUGCCUUGCCGGGGGCUUUCUAGCAGGGUAGCUGGCAGGCAGUCACAAGUGGAGCUACUGCCUUGCAUGGUCUCAGAGUACACUGCGGUGACAAGAAAACGCCAUGCUGGACUAGAAGUGGCCAUGUGGUCAGGUACUGCCUUGGCUGAAAGGUAGUGCUUGCUUAAAGGCAGUAACUUGAGCAGCAUUUCUGAUUGUCACCUAGCUUAGCCCCAUGGAUGCAGAGUUGCCACGCGGCCUUCCACCCAUCCUCUGCGCAACCACUCUCCCAGCUCGAGGGCACAAUCUUCAUUUGGAGGCCUCCAACCCGACACGUGUUUUCAAAGUCACACUGUGCCAUUGCUUUCUGGAGAGCUGGGGUGGAGUCAGUGUAGUUCUCUUAGCAGCGGAGCUCUGCCAGGGUGUGAUUGAUUUUUAACCUGCUUUCCAAAGGAAUCGCAGCGCAUCGGUGCAUGUGAGUGUGUGCUUCUGCCAUAGCCGCCGUAGAGCCCGCUUGCUGAUUUCCAUCAGAAAGGGGUCUGAGGCCUCAAAGUUACUGAGAUACUACAGGUUUCACGAACGUGGAAGUGGAUAGAGGAGAGGGAUACCAUUAAUUACUUCAAAAAGGAAAUGUUCUUGACCCAUACUGGACACCAGAGAACCCCCAUGGGACAGCCAUUCCAAAUGCUCCAGCUUUAGGUAAGCCUCUGAUAGCACUUGUAUUUUAAGUGGCCCCAGGGAACUGAGUACCCAGACAGCAUCCUUGCUAUUGAUUAGUUCUGCUGCUCACAGAACAGCUCAUUCAUCGAGAGCUGUGCUGUUCCACCUUGCAGCAGGCCUUGUCCUGCUGUUGCUGGGGCUCCCCUGCCGGCGUGAGUGACAGUGCCUGGAUGUAACAAAAAACAUUCCUGCCCGGGAGGGGCUUGGUCUGUGUCCUAGCAGUCUUGUCCCAUCCUCGGCUCUGAAGAAUCCCCAUCAAGGUGGUAAGCGUUCAACCAAAUGACUUUGCUCUGUGUGAGUUGCCUGGAAAACACAGCCCUCAACUUCUGGAGCUGGCUUUUGACCACGUCGUCGGCCCUGCAGGGGGCGAGGAGGGUGCUGCUUCUUUGGAGCAUUAUGUAAAGGAGUUUGAUUAGAUUUCUUCUGGCAUAACAAUUAAAAAGAUUCAUCAGGAUCAGAGGUAGAGGCCUGAGAAGCUGGAAGGUUGCUGUCAGGGCUUGUGCUAAAGAACAGAUGAGUUUCCUGCACUCAGGAAUUAAUGGAAAAGGUGUGGCGUUUGAAGCGGCCUCAACUAGUAAACAUGAGAGAGAGAGACAGAGAAGUGUUUCCCAGGCUCUGAGUUGGAGGAGGAAGCCUGUUCCCUCUGCUGAAGGGUGCUUCUGUGAAAACACCCCCACCGUUUUGGCAGUUUCUCCAUUUCCGAGGGGUCCUUGUCCUUUGGGAAGUACACAGCUGGCUUGGGAUUUAGGCUGCUUGGAAAGAAACAUCUGCUAAUUUUGUUCGUUCUUCUCAAAACUCAGCUGUGUGAAGAGUCGAGAGCAGCUGGGGGUGGGAGGGGACAGGGCCAGCCGUGCUCUCGGCACAAGGCCUCUCCUUUCAGCAGCCAUGCUCCCCCCGCAGACCCCCUACCUGAGUGCUCCCACCUUAUUUUUCAGUGGCGUACACUAG